rnacentral:rRNA from 1 species
UGGGAACCCUCCCUAUGGUUCGGAAUAGCUCAGGGAAACUUGAGGUAAUACCGGAUAAGCCCUUACGGGGAAAGAUUUAUCGCCAUUGGAUGGGCCCGCGUCGGAUUAGCUAGUUGGUGAGGUAACGGCUCACCAAGGCGACGACGGGUAGCCGGCCUGAGAGGGUGACCGGCCACACUGGGACUGAGACACGGCCCAGACUCCUACGGGAGGCAG